CACCGCGGUUAUACGAGAGGCCCAAGUAGACAGAGCCCGGCGUAAAGAGUGGUUAAUAUGAAAUUAACUAAAGCUAAACACCUUCAGAGCUGUCAUACGUUCCCGAAGGCAGGAAACCCUUUAACGAAAGUAGCUUUAACUAAAUAUGACCCCACGAAAGCUAGGGUA
rnacentral:rRNA from 1 species